rnacentral:lncRNA from 1 species
AAUGCUCCUUCAGUUUACUUAUUCCACCACCAAGUUCAGUACAUAUGCAUUUUUGAGUCUGAACUUUCCACUCUAGUACCUCCUAUUGCACUUACAGAAGAAGCAGAAACUUUACCUAACCAAACUACAAGACCUCACCACACCUUAUUACAGAAACUAAGUAGACACUGAUCAGUAACUAGUAGUACUAUAACUGCGUAUAUAUUUAUCCUAGAGAUACCAUUAGGUCAGGGGGGCAAAAUUUGCGUGCAUAUAUCUGCACGCUGUGGACACGUAGAUACACAUACGGCUACAACGAAAAGAAUCGCACCUACUAUCAACUUCCUUGUGUCCUGUCUGUCAUCAUGCUUCGGCAGAUGCAGAUGCUGCUAAUGCUAGAGCCUUGAAGAACGUACUGACAGAGAGCUGAGAGCAUCAGUGCUUGAGUUCUCAAUGUCUUCAUGCUUCGAUGGAUGUAUGUUGCUGGUGUUGAUAUGAUGUUGGUGCUGGAGCCUGAAUACUCGACUUUGAGCUCAAAGCAUCUUGUCGGCUUUCUGAAAUCUGCCUGGGCCCUAUACUACUAGCUGAAUCAGUUGUGCUUGGGCACGCGGCGGUGCCAUGGAGCGUAGUCCAUGGUCAUGUAUGAUCUCAGCUGAUUCCUCUCCUCCACCCACUGCUGCGCGUGUUGCCUUCUGUCAUGCAGCCUAAUAGCACCUUCAGAACCGAAAAGAAAAAACUUUCAGGACUCAGUCAUCAUCACUAAACAGUGAACAUUCAGACGGAUGAGGUUGCAGCAGUGAAAGAUGAGAGACUAAUAAUAUAGUAGUAGCAGCAGCAGCAUUUGCAGCAAAUAUAUGAACAAAGCCAUAUAACAACAAGAUGACUCACCAACGCCUGCUUGUUGAUGCAGCGACGAACUGAAGACUACCAAGAGCACCAGAGCGACCAGCCUCACAAUCCCAAGCGACACCAUGCUGCUCUCUCACCACCUCACCUGUGUUC